rnacentral:rRNA from 1 species
AAGGAUCAUUAUCGUACAACCGAGGUGCAAAGGCUGUCGCUGACCCUCAAAGGUCGUGCACGCCCGAGCGCUCUCACACAAUCCAUCUCACCUUUGUGCAUCACCGCGUGGGUCCUCCCCUUUGCGGGGGAGGGCUUGCGUUUUCACAUAAAACUCGAUACAGUGUAGAAUGUUUCUGUUUUGCGGGCCCCCCCAAUCAAUACAACUUUCAACAACGGAUCUCUUGGCUCUCGCAUCCAUGAAAAACGCAAGGAAAUGCGAUACCUAAUGGGAAUUGCAAAAUUCAGUGAAUCAUCCGAUCUUUGAACGCACCUUGCGCCCCUUGGCAUUCCCAGGGGCACCCCCCUUUGAGUGUCGUGGAAUCUUCAAAAUCCUUUUUUUCUUUCUUAAAGGGUUUUGGACUUGGAGGUUUAAUGCUCGCCCUUUCUUUCGAAGGUGAGCUCCUCUCAAAAGAAUUAGUGGGGUCCGCUUUGCUGGUCCUUGACGUGAUAAAAUGUUUCUACGUUUUGGGUUUAGCUCUGUUCCUUGGACGCCCGCUCCUAACCGUCUCAUUGACGACG